AAAUGGGUCCACGUUUCCCCUUCUAACACCGGCAACAGCUCCAACAAUAACAACAAUAAUCACUCUCAUAAUAAUCAGCAGACCACAAUCAACGGUACUUCUAACGGUAAUAACGUUUCCCAUCUCCUCCUUUUUAAAUGGACACCUUUAUCCCAAACCCAAACCAACAACAACGAUAAUGACAAUUCCUCUAAGGACGACGCCGUGGCGGCGCCCGAAGAGCCGCCAAGACGGAAGUUUAAAUACAUUCCGGUAAAUUAUCUUCCUUGGGUUUUCAUCAAUUUCGAAUUUUGGGUCGUCUUUUUUAAGUUAUUUUUUCCUUAUCUGUAUAUGCUUAUUUUGCUUUGUUUCUUGGUGGGAUUUUUUUGGCUGCGAAUUGGGAUUUGAUUUUGCGUGCAUUUUAUGUAAUUGCUUGAUUUGUUAUGGGUUUUGGUUGGAUAUGUUACGAGCUUCUUCAAUGGAACUAUGAGUUAGCUUGUUGUUAAUUGCUUUUAAGGAAAUGUCAAUGAUGAAUAGAGAGAAAGCCCAAGUUGGGAAUUUUUUUUCGCAUUGAUCAAUGACUGAAAUUUUAUUAGAUGAAUGUUUCUAGAACAAUAGCUUGCUUAUCAACAAAUUUUGAAUUGCAUAUGUGUGAGGGUACAAAAUUGAGCUGCUUGCCAUCCUCAUACUCAUAGAUCAAAUCCGGGUUCGGGAGAGCUUUUGAAACCAAUGAUAUAAUGAUAGUGAAACUGUUGGAUCGGAGAUUGAAAGGGAAGAGGACCGAGAUUAGGACCUCGUUUCUUUUCUCUGACUAAUCGAACUCUAACUAUACCCUAUGCAGUUGCUUUAAGUUGAACACGGUUGUCGUAAUACUUGGUAAAAGUACCAUGAAGGCCAUUGUACUAGGAGUCGGAUUGCAUUUUGCCCCUUUUACUAAAAAAUUAGGCAAACUAGUCCUUGUACAUUAGAUAAAAAAUCAAACUAGUCAUUCUAUUAAAAGUUUGACCAUUUCUAUUGUUAAAAACUAAUCACUGUAUGUGCAACUGUCUGGUUAAUUCCAUCAGUCACUGUCUAGACUAGUUUGCCCCAUUUUUUAGUGAAGGGGGCAAAAUGUAAUCUGACUCCUAGUACAAGGCCUCCAUGAUAUUUUUACCGUAAUGCUUGGACCUAUCUGAUCUAAUCUAGUAUGUGAAAUCAUAGUAGCAUGAUGUAUGGCUAUAAUCAUAUUGCUUGCAUUGGCAUGAAACAUAAUGUUUCUACUUUUGAUCAUAUCAAACACUGAUAGUGGGUGCUUUUGUCUGGUAAUUGUAAUUCCCUUUUUAAGUUUUUGAUUGGAUAAUCUGAAUAUGCUAACAUUCACAGGUUUGUGAAGCUGCUUAGUUGUAACAAUUGUUGGUAGAAAUGAGUCCUAAGAUCAGUUCAAAUUGUUCGAUCAUCUUAUUAUUUUGAUUGCUUGAACAUGCAGAUUGCUGUGCUAGAGGAACAGAGAAAGGAAGCUGAUGAAAACACCGAUGAUGAAUCUAAACUGAGCGAAGCUGACCCUAGUGCUGUAGAGCCAACUUCCAAGAAUGAUGGUCUUGAUGAAAAACCCGACAUUAAUGACAUACCUGUCGAAACCAUUUUUUUUAAAACAAAAAUAAGUUAUCGACUUUAAAAACAAAAAUUGGAGUCGCCACCGAUCCUUUAUUAAGGUGUGAUCGGCUCACAAAAAAAAACAAUUCUGGUCUGCAAAAUUUGAGAAAACAGGUUCGUGAGUCAGUUACGCACGAGGAAGGGUUAGCACCCUCGUAACGCCCAAAAAUCGGUACCAAAUUUGAUUAUUUUAUGUCUUGAUGUCGAAAAUUUGAAAAGAUUUUAAAUAGAAAUUUUUAACCCGUGAAUAGAUUUAGAAUGAUAAAACAUUCUCAUUUCAAAAAAAUAAAACACCACACCCAGUAAAUUAGGGCACAAUAUUUUAAAUCUUCGAAAUACCGAAUAUUGCUUUUUGUUUUAGAAAUUCUUAUUUCGAGAUAACGAAAUGUCACGACCAGUAAGUUAGGACCCGACAUUAUGAAUUCCCGAGAAUAAGGUUUUAUUUGAAAAUUGCAAAUUCAUUGUAAAAUAAAUACUUAGCUCGUUAAAUUCAUCGAAAAAAUGAUCACGAUCCAGUAAGUUAGGACACGAUCUUUCUCGAGAACCAUGAUUGCUAAAUAUCUAAAAAUUUAAAAAAAGAUUUUAAUGCUUUCACAAAGCAAAAAUAGAUUUUUCUUUAAAAGUACGAUAAAAUGCUAAUGCGUAACAUGAAAUCAUUACUCUAAUUUAAAAUAUACCUAUAUAUGUAUACAAAAGUUAUGAAAAUAAAAUAUAAAAUUUGUACAUGUAUUUAUAAAAGUAAAAGUAUAUAUAUAAAAAAAUGUUAAUAAAUUUUGAAAGCAUGUAUAUGUACGUAUAUAUAAAACGAAUGUGAAAAAUGUAUUUAUAACAGUUUUGAAUAACAUAUAUAUAGACUAUAAAAAAAUAUAUAAAUGUAUGAAUUAUAAAAUAUAGGAAAUGUAUGAAUAUUAUAAAACAUAAACGUAUAUAUAUAUAUAAAACUAUGAAAAUAAAAUAGUAGUAAAAUAUGAAAGAUAUGUAUAUGUAUUUAAAUCCAUUUAAAAUAUAUAUACAUAUAUAUAUAUAUAUAAAAUGUAUAAGCGUAUAAAAAUUAUAACAUACGAAAACAUUUAAAUAUUAUAAAAUAUAAUGUAUAUAUGUAUAUACAUAUGUAAAAACAAAAACAUUUGAAUAAAUACAUAUAUAUUAGCAUACAUAUGCGUAUAUAUAUAGAUAUAAUAAUAAUAAUAAUAUAAUAUAAUAAUGACAAAAGGGUCAAUUUAAAACUUAAAACAGUGAUUUGGGGCAAAUCCGCAAUUACAAUAAACAAAAUUGGAGCAAAUUAAAGUACGCGCAAUGAGAGGAGGACCGGAAGGGAAAUUUUUCCAAACCUCCCACACACUGCGUUUAAAUGGGAUUAAAAUAAAACAAUUUCAGUAUUUCAUAGAAAAAUUUAAAAACCAAAAACCAUAAUUUUGAAAUGAUGGAAAAAUGAAAAUGAUUAAAAAGGUAAAUAGCCCAUUAAUAAAACCCCAUUCCAACUUCAGCAACAGCAGCCGCAAGAGCUGCUUCUUUCUCUUCUGCUUCUCACCGAAAUCCUCCCCUUUUCAACUCCGAUUCGGACGCAACGCAGCAAGGGCGUCAAUGGCACGCCACCACUGGUAAGAACCUUCUUUCCUUCUUCUCUUUAUUUAUUUUUGUUUUCGGAUAACAAAAGAAAAACAAAAUAAAGUAAAAAACAGUAAAAUGAACAAAGAAAAAAUAAAAAUCUGUCACCUUCAAAAUCCUUGCCUUUUUUCCUUGUAUUUUCUUUUUCAGUUUUUUUAGUACAAAAUUUGGCAACCCCCUUUUUUACAUAUUCGAUUUGACUUUAAAUAGCCAAAAUAACGAAAAGAAAAACCCCCGAAAACCUCUUUUCCACCCUUUACAGUUCGUGGUUGUUGCAGGUACGAGCGUGUGCACACAAGCUAUUGAACGUGGGCGAAGCCACUGCAACGUGGGGGAAAUGGAACGAUUGCUGCGGCGUUGAAGAAACUGCUACUAGGGUUCAGUUUUUUUUUUUCUGCUGAAACUGUUCCAUAGCUUGGGCUGUAAUUUGGACUAACAGAUGGGCUUGUAACUUGAGUCCGGGCCUUUUUUCUGCUGAAACUGUUCCAUAGCUUGGGCUGUAAUUUGGACUAACAGAUGGGCUUGUAACUUGAGUUUGGGCCUUAGGCUUAGUUGGGCCCGGGCAAUAAUUGGGUAUUACAAUACCUAUGGAUGAAAGUCAGGUGAGCAGCAAAAUGUUUUUCUAUAUACUUUCAUUUGAAAAGGGGCAUGGGGCUGAACAGGACUGAAAAUUUUCACUUUCAAGUCGAAUGAGCUUAAUUCCAAUUUCCUGUCUCAGGAGGAUAAUAAAAUAGUGCGACAAGAUCUGAACGAAAGCACAUUGGAUUUGAGCUUCGGUUAAACGGUUCGUGACUGUGAGUCUGAUUCGAAAACAAAUCGCAACGGACAGUUGGAAAGAGUAAAAUUGAGUAGUGGUCGAACAUGAUUGAGUAUAGCUUUGCAGGCUGUUUCAGCAAAUAGAUGCAGAUGGUAAGUAGACAUUAUUAUUAGUCUCCUCAUUUAUGGCAUAUUCCAUCAUCUAGGGUUUUAUAAACGGCGGGAUCGGCCACUCUCUUUCCCUCUUUUGUCAUCGGUUUAAUCCUUCCGAUAUUUGCGUGUAUUACAUUCGCAUGUGAAAAAUCAAGUGCUUAAUUACUAUUUUCUUCGUUUAACCGGUGAUAGAUUGAAUUUAAUGCUACAUGUACCAAGAUAAGGGGGUUGAUUCAAAUCAGUAUCCUUAAUCUUGAUUUUGCCAUAGCGGCUGUAGCUAUAAUAGAGAAGUUAACUGGCCGGUUAUCGUGCUUAAUUUGAAAAUUUCAAGCUUCCGUCGGUUAAUCUGCUUACCGAGCUUCGUACAUUUCAUUUCAUGUUAUUGGUUUUUUUUUUUUGGUAAAUUUUGAGAAGGGGGGAGAAGAAGGGAAUAGCAUAGGAUUUAGCUAUUUCAAGAGACCCUUCUCUAACAUCAAAAAUUAGGUCACCUUCCAGGCUUUCUGCUUUGCUUCUCUGCAGUUUGCGUCUAUCGGUGCCUACAUUCAUUCCAUUUCUAAGAACAAAAAAUUGUAUUUUACUUUCGAUUUUAGUAUUUGCAAGUCUUCAAUCCAUUUCCAGUCCCAGCUAUCUGUUCGUUUAAUUGGGCCUUUUCAAUUUCAUUUGAAUUUAAAAAUAAAUUAAAUCGUUAUAAUUUGAUUCGAAAAUUUCGAAUCUUAAUUCAAAAUGGCUUGAAAGUUUAGAUUCACUUGAAUCAAAGCCUUUAAAUUUUAAAAGCAAAAUUGAUUGAAAAUCAUCUAACUCAAAAAUCAAUCUAAACCGUUUAAUCAAAGUUUACAUAAAUUAAACAGUAACGAGUGGAUUUAAAUGGGCAAAAUAUAAAAAAAAAAGUCAGUUUUUUUCUUAAAUUUAUCGAAAUGAGCCUUCGCGUCCACAUCAGCAAAUCGUGUCCACAUCAGUGCGCUUUCCUGACGUGGACACAUAUCGCGUCCACGUAAAAUGGAUUUGUUUCCAAUUUGAUACCUGAAUCUUUUUUAUCCUAAUUUCAGUACUUAAAUUUGUCCUCAAUGUUCAAUUCAAUACAUGAGCUUUUUGCCUGAUGAAUAUGUGAUAUGUGUGCUCUAGUAAAAAACAUAAGACUUUAAUUGAGAUAAAAAAAAACUCAAGUUAAUAUUAAAUUGAAUAUUAGAGUCAUACUCAUGUACCAAAUUGGAGAAAAAACCCACGUACCAAAUUGAAUAUUAAUACCAAUCUCAGAUACCAAACACUAAACUGAUUUUUUUUUUUAUUUUUUUUUUGUAAAAUUGACCUAGAUUGUCAUUAAAAUAGAUUAAAAUUUUAGAUUCGAGUCUCAUCAAAUAUUAUAAAUCAUGUGUGAAUUUUUUUCAGUACAUUUUUAGUGUUUCUUACAAGGUUUUAGUGAAAAUUUAAGUUCAAUUAGUGAUUGAGUAAAAAAUUAUGAAGUAUUCGUGUUAAUAAUCAACUCUUUUGAAAGAAAUAUUUGAAAUGUUGUGCCAUCGAAAUUGACGAACCCUUUAGCAAAUCAAUAUUGUUCCUCUUUUAAAGUUUUUUCUCUUGGCUCAAACAAAAAUCCAAGUUCCUAAGGUUGCUUGAAAAGGUAAUAGAUUCAACAAAGUGGAAUCAUCUCUUAUNNNNNNNNNNNNNNNNNNNNNNNNNNNNNNNNNNNNNNNNNNNNNNNNNNNNNNNNNNNNNNNNNNNNNNNNNNNNNNNNNNNNNNNNNNNNNNNNNNNNAUAUUUGCACUUAGUAUGCACUUGUAGGCAACCAUUCUACCACUUGGUCCUUGGUAAGUAGUUUUACACCAUGCACAAUUUGGCCAAAUGAGGUGUUCCCACAUUGUUAAAUCGAUUGCCUCUUCCGACAACUUCAAGUACUAUGACUCUAUACAGAAUCGGGAGACAAAAUCUAGAUCGAAUACAAUACCAUCUCGUUAAAGCAUCAAUUGAUUCCUAAUGAAUAACAUUUAUAAAAAAUUCUCCACUCAACAAAUUUAUUUAAUAUAAUAUUAAAUUUGGCAUAAACCUAAACCUUAAGCAUUUUUACUCAAAAUAAAAUUUAUUAUUAAUUAAAAUGGCUCGUGACUGAUCAAAUAUUAAUAAAAAAAUUCAAUCCACAGGCAACAUUUGUAGUUUUUAUCAAUUUAUUAUGUAUAAGAAAAAUGAAUUAAACAAUUGAAAUGGAUCAUUAGUAAAAUUACCAAACAAAAGAGCCAAUGGCCCAUCUAAUUUGAAACUCGGAGCUACCAGAACCGAAUCCGACCCGAACUUUAUAAGCAUAAAAUCACAAAAGAAAUUAAUCCACUUGUCUCCUCGGCGAAGGAAAAAAACAACAGAAAAAAAAGAAAAAGAAAAAAAGAGAGAGAGAUCUAAAGGGAGAGAGAGAAACAUAGAGCGAGUCACAGCGAAAUCGUCACCGAUCCAACGCGAACGAGUUAAAUGGAAGGAGUGGGGGCUCGACUCGGGCGGUCCUCCACUCGGUACGGACCAGCCACUGUGUUCACUGGACCGGUCAGGAAAUGGAAGAAGAAAUGGGUCCACGUUUCCCCUUCUAACACCGGCAACAGCUCCAACAAUAACAACAAUAAUCACUCUCAUAAUAAUCAUCAGACCACAAUCAACGGUACUUCUAACGGUAAUAACGGUUCCCAUCUCCUCCUUUUUAAAUGGACACCUUUAUCCCAAACCCAAACCAACAACAACGAUAAUGACAAUUCCUCUAAGGACGAC
rnacentral:lncRNA from 1 species